rnacentral:rRNA from 1 species
AGAGUUUGAUCAUGGCUCAGAAUCAACGCUGGCGGCGUGCCUAACACAUGCAAGUCGAACGCGAAAGCCCCGCAAGGGGUUAGUAGAGUGGCAAACGGGUGAGUGACACGCGGGUGACCUGCCUUCGAGUGGGGGAUAACGUCCCGAACGGGACGCUAAUACCGCAUAACAUCCUGCCUUUGAAGAGGUGGAGAUCAAAGCUGGGGACCGCAAGGCCUGGCGCUCAAAGAGGGGCCCGCGUCUGAUUAGCUAGUUGGUGAGGUAAUGGCUCACCAAGGCAACGAUCAGUAUCCGGCCUGAGAGGGCGGACGGACACACUGGGACUGAGGCACGGCCCAGACUCCUACGGGAGGCAGCAGUGGGGAAUUGUUCGCAAUGGGCGCAAGCCUGACGACGCAACGCCGCGUGGAGGGUGAAGACCUUCGGGUCGUAAACUCCUUUCGAUCGAGACGAAUGGCCCUUGGGUU